UAGAGUUUGAUCCUGGCUCAGGAUGAACGCUAGCGACAGGCUUAACACAUGCAAGUCGAGGGGCAGCGGGGUAGGAAGCUUGCUUUCUGCCGCCGGCGACCGGCGCACGGGUGAGUAACACGUAUGCAACCUGGCCGUGACAGAUGGAUAACCGGGAGAAAUCCCGCCUAAUACAACAUAAUGCCGGGAGGGGACAUCCCCUGCCGGCCAAAGGGGGCGACCCCGGUCAUGGAUGGGCAUGCGGCGCAUUAGGUAGUUGGUGGGGCAACGGCCCACCAAGCCGACGAUGCGUAGGGGUUCUGAGAGGAAGGUCCCCCACAUUGGAACUGAGACACGGUCCAAACUCCUACGGGAGGCAGCAGUGAGGAAUAUUGGUCAAUGGCCGGAAGGCUGAACCAGCCAAGUCGCGUGAGGGAAUAAGGCCCUACGGGUCGUAAACCUCUUUUGCCAGGGAGCAAUGCCGUCCACGUGUGGACGGAAGGAGAGUACCUGGAGAAAAAGCAUCGGCUAACUCCGUGCCAGCAGCCGCGGUAAUACGGAGGAUGCGAGCGUUAUCCGGAUUUAUUGGGUUUAAAGGGUGCGUAGGCGGCCUGCCAAGUCAGCGGUAAAAUUGCGGGGCUCAACCCCGUACAGCCGUUGAAACUGCCGGGCUCGAGUGGGCGAGAAGUAUGCGGAAUGCGUGGUGUAGCGGUGAAAUGCAUAGAUAUCACGCAGAACCCCGAUUGCGAAGGCAGCAUACCGGCGCCCUACUGACGCUGAGGCACGAAAGUGCGGGGAUCAAACAGGAUUAGAUACCCUGGUAGUCCGCACAGUAAACGAUGAAUGCUAGCUGUCCGGGGGGAUUGACCCCUGGGUGGCACAGC
rnacentral:rRNA from 1 species